GAUGAACGCUAGCGGCAGGCCUAAUACAUGCAAGUCGAGCGGCAAGUCGAGGAGUAAUCUAAGACCUAGAGCGGCGCACGGGUGCGUAACGCGUAUGCAACCUACCUUACACUGGGGUAUAGCCCGGAGAAAUUCGGACUUAAUCCCCCAUGGUACUUUUGAAUGGCAUCAUUUGGAAGUUAAAGUAUUACGGUGUAAGAUGGGCAUGCGUCCUAUUAGCUAGAUGGUAAGGUAACGGCUUACCAUGGCUACGAUAGGUAGGGGGCCUGAGAGGGUGGUCCCCCACACUGGAACUGAGACACGGUCCAGACUCCUACGGGAGGCAGCAGUGGGGAAUUUUGGACAAUGGGCGAAAGCCUGAUCCAGCCAUUCCGCGUGCAGGAUGAAGGCCCUCGGGUUGUAAACUGCUUUUGUACAGAACGAAAAGGUCUCUAUUAAUACUAGGGGCUCAUGACGGUACUGUAAGAAUAAGCACCGGCUAACUACGUG
rnacentral:rRNA from 1 species